rnacentral:rRNA from 1 species
UACGUAGGGGGCAAGCGUUGUCCGGAAUUAUUGGGCGUAAAGCGCACGUAGGCGGAUUUGUAAGUCAGGGGUGAAAUCCCGGGGCUCAACCUCGGAACUGCCUUUGAUACUGCAAAUCUCGAGUCCGGAAGAGGUGAGUGGAAUUCCUAGUGUAGAGGUGAAAUUCGUAGAUAUUAGGAAGAACACCAGUGGCGAAGGCGGCUCACUGGUCCGGUACUGACGCUGAGGUGCGAAAGCGUGGGGAGCAAACAGG